GAGAGUUUGAUCCUGGCUCAGAUUGAACGCUGGCGGCAGGCCUAACACAUGCAAGUCGAGCGGCAGCACGGGUACUUGUACCUGGUGGCGAGCGGCGGACGGGUGAGUAAUGCCUAGGAAUCUGCCUGGUAGUGGGGGAAAACGCUCGGAAACGGACGCUAAUACCGCAUACGUCCUACGGGAGAAAGCAGGGGACCUUCGGGCCUUGCGCUAUCAGAUGAGCCUAGGUCGGAUUAGCUAGUUGGUGGGGUAAUGGCUCACCAAGGCGACGAUCCGUAACUGGUCUGAGAGGAUGAUCUGUCACACUGGAACUGAGACACGGUCCAGACUCCUACGGGAGGCAGCAGUGGGGAAUAUUGGACAAUGGGCGAAAGCCUGAUCCAGCCAUGCCGCGUGUGUGAAGAAGGUCUUCGGAUUGUAAAGCACUUUAAGUUGGGAGGAAGGGCAGUUACCUAAUACGUAUCUGUUUUGACGUUACCGACAGAAUAAGCACCGGCUAACUCUGUGCCAGCAGCCGCGGUAAUACAGAGGGUGCAAGCGUUAAUCGGAAUUACUGGGCGUAAAGCGCGCGUAGGUGGUUUGUUAAGUUGGAUGUGAAAUCCCCGGGCUCAACCUGGGAACUGCAUUCAAAACUGACAAGCUAGAGUAUGGUAGAGGGUGGUGGAAUUUCCUGUGUAGCGGUGAAAUGCGUAGAUAUAGGAAGGAACACCAGUGGCGAAGGCGACCACCUGGACUGAUACUGACACUGAGGUGCGAAAGCGUGGGGCGCAAACAGGAUUAGAUACCCUGGUAGUCCACGCCGUAAACGAUGUCAACUAGCCGUUGGGAGCCUUGAGCUCUUAGUGGCGCAGCUAACGCAUUAAGUUGACCGCCUGGGGAGUACGGCCGCAAGGUUAAAACUUAAAUGAAUUGACGGGGGCCCGCACAAGCGGUGGAGCAUGUGGNUUCAAUUCGAAGCAACGCGAAGAACCUUACCAGGCCUUGACAUCCAAUGAACUUUCCAGAGAUGGAUUGGUGCCUUCGGGAACAUUGAGACAGGUGCUGCAUGGCUGUCGUCAGCUCGUGUCGUGAGAUGUUGGGUUAAGUCCCGUAACGAGCGCAACCCUUGUCCUUAGUUACCAGCACGUAAUGGUGGGCACUCUAAGGAGACUGCCGGUGACAAACCGGAGGAAGGUGGGGAUGACGUCAAGUCAUCAUGGCCCUUACGGCCUGGGCUACACACGUGCUACAAUGGUCGGUACAGAGGGUUGCCAAGCCGCGAGGUGGAGCUAAUCCCAGAAAACCGAUCGUAGUCCGGAUCGCAGUCUGCAACUCGACUGCGUGAAGUCGGAAUCGCUAGUAAUCGCGAAUCAGAAUGUCGCGGUGAAUACGUUCCCGGGCCUUGUACACACCGCCCGUCACACCAUGGGAGUGGGUUGCACCAGAAGUAGCUAGUCUAACCUUCGGGAGGACGGUUACCACGGUGUGAUUCAUGACUGGGGUGAAGUCGUAACAAGGUAGCCGUA
rnacentral:rRNA from 1 species